UGCGGGGUAGCUCAACGGGGAGAGCGGGCGGCUGUUAACCGUCUGGUUGUGGGUUCGAGUCCCACCCCCGCAG
rnacentral:tRNA from 2 species